UACGUAGGCAGCGAGCGUUGUUCGGAGUUACUGGGCGUAAAGGGUGUGUAGGCGGUUGUUUAAGUUUGGUGUGAAAUCUCCCGGCUCAACUGGGAGGGUGCGCCGAAUACUGAAUGACUAGAGUGCGGGAGAGGAAAGUGGAAUUCCUGGUGUGGCGGUGAAAUGCGUAGAUAUCAGGAGGAACACCGGUGGUGUAGACGGCUUUCUGGACCGUAACUGACGCUGAGACACGAAAGCGUGGGUAGCAAACAGG
rnacentral:rRNA from 1 species